rnacentral:rRNA from 1 species
UGAGGAAUAUUGGUCAAUGGGCGCAAGCCUGAACCAGCCAUCCCGCGUGAAGGAUGAAGGCCCUAUGGGUCGUAAACUUCUUUUAUACACCAAGAAAAAGUCAGACGUGUCUGGCCCCGACGGUAGUGUAUGAAUAAGCAUCGGCUAACUCCGUGCCAGCAGCCGCGGUAAUACGGAGGAUGCGAGCGUUAUCCGGAUUCAUUGGGUUUAAAGGGUGCGUAGGCGGCUUUUUAAGUCAGUGGUGAAAUCUUGCCGCUUAACGGUAAAAUUGCCAUUGAUACUGAUAAGCUUGAGUACAAUUGAGGUAAGCGGAAUGUGUAGUGUAGCGGUGAAAUGCUUAGAUAUUACACAGAACACCGAUUGCGAAGGCAGCUUACUAAACUGUCACUGACGCUGAUGCACGAAAGCGUGGGGAGCGAACA